CAGUCGCCGCGGUAAUACGAAGGGAGCGAGCGUUGUUCGGAAUCACUGGGCUUAAAGCGUGCGUAGGCGGAAGUGUAAGUCAGAAGUGAAAGCCCAGGGCUCAACCUUGGAAUUGCUUUUGAGACUGCAUUUCUAGAAUUCGGUAGAGGCUAGUGGAAUGUCCAGUGUAGAGGUAAAAUUCGCAGAUAUUGGACGGAACACCAGUGGCGAAGGCGACUAGCUGGGCCGAUAUUGACGCUGAGGCACGAAAGCGUGGGUAGCAAACAGGAUUAGAUACCCGGGUAGUCCCUGUCUCUUAUAC
rnacentral:rRNA from 1 species